GGUUUGUUAGUUUAUAUAGAAAAGCCUCAACUACCACAUUAAAUUGAUUCUGAAUUGAAAAUGAAAAAUGAUGUUUACCAGCCAACUGCAACUGAUAAUCUUACAUCAAAUGAAGACGGAGUUGUCGAAACAACAGUACGCUUUCAAUUACCAUUUAAAUGGAAAGCGUUGAUCGUCGGUUUGUGUUUGCUUUGUUUGAUUUUGUUGAUUUCAUUAAUUGUUGUCGCCAGUAAGAAGAAAUGCGAUUAAAAUUGGCGGGAGAUGUAAAAAAUUUUAAUUUUAUGGGAAUAGUAAAAAAAUAGUUUCAUUAA